CCCCCAUCCAUGUGUGUAGGACUUCAAAGGAUCAUCAUUAAAUUUGGUACGGAUCUUUAAAAAAGUUAUCACAUGGGUAUGAAACUUGACUUUUAUAGAGAUCUGUAUCAAAUUUAAUGGUGAUCCUUUGGGGUCCUACACACAUGGAUGGAAG
rnacentral:pre_miRNA from 1 species